rnacentral:lncRNA from 1 species
GCACACAAUUGUUGGCACCCCACGCUGCUUACCCCAGUUCAUUCACUCCAUACAAACGCUCCUUGGGUCUAGGGGUGUGCUCAUCCUGGGCCAGUCUGCCAUUGGGAGGACAGGCCCAGGAGGAGGCCCACUUUGGUCUUGGAAGAGGGCUGGAGGCCAGGCGGACAGGGACUUCUAGCAUCCUGGUCACCUGGAAUGUGGUCUAGCAGGAGAGUCACUGACUGCAGAUGGGCAUAUCUUCUUGGCCCUGAAGACUCCUGUUCCAUAGGAACUGAUAGUGAAGGUGCUCAGUGUUUGUUGAAUGCAUAAAUGACCAAUGGAAAGAAGGAAGAAAAAAGAAGGAAGGAAGGAAGGAAUGAAGGAAGAAAGGAAGGACCAGAGAGAGGAACAAGACCCUCUGCUGAGCCAGCAGGAAAAGACCCGAGAUCACAAUGACGUGAUUUAUAUUGAUCCCUAGUUAGUCAUCAGGAAUGUCUGAGUGAAGAAUGGAAAACAAAGGGAUGCUUGAGUUUACAAUGCCCGAGUGUCCCUCGUGGAGGGAGUGCUGCCUCUGGAUCCAGGAUCAGCAGCUGUGGAAACAUCUCCCUUUUGCAGAGGGUACAAAUCAGCUCACAGCCUGCAGAACAGAAACUGACAGCGCGUCAGAGACCUGCAUGACAGUCCUGGCUUCCACUCUGGCCUCUCAGUUUCCUCAUAUGUUCAGUGAGUUCAUCAUCCUUCUCACACAAUAAAGAUGAAGACCAACACCACCUGACAUUCGUUGAGUAUUUACUAGGGGCCAGGUGUUCUACUAAGUGUUUCCAAUUCAUAUUCUCAUUGAACCUCCACAACUACUCGAUGAAGAAGGCAUAAUCUCUGUCCCCAUUUUAUAGAUGAAGAAAGUGAAGUCUAGACAUAACUUACCUGCCCAAUGUCACACAGCUGGGAGUUUGCCAAAUUAAGAUCCAAAUCAUGAUUUUUUUUAAAUUCGUUGCAAUAAUC